AUAUUCGUCAAUGGGGGAAACCCUGAACGAGCGAUGCCGCGUGAGUGAUGAAGGUCCUUUGGAUUGUAAAACUCUGUUGUAAAGGAAGAAACUCUAUCAUAGGAAAUGAUGAUAGACUGACGGUACUUUGCCAGAAAGCCCCGCCUAACUACGUGCCAGCAGCCGCGGUAAUACGUAGGGGGCGAGCGUUAUCCGAAUUUAUUGGGCGUAAAGCGUGUGUAGGCGGUUUAUUAAGUUUAAGAUCAAAGCCCGGAGCUUAACUCCGGUUCGUCUUAAAAACUGGUAGACUUGAGUGCAGUAGAGGCAAGUGGAAUUUCUAGUGUAGCGGUUAAAUGCGUAGAUAUUAGAAGGAACACCAGUGGCGAAGGCGGCUUGCUGGGCUGUUACUGACGCUGAGACACGAAAGCGUGGGGAGCAAAUAGG
rnacentral:rRNA from 1 species